CGAAACACAGAACCUCUUAAAAACUUCUUGAAACGGCUACAAACGGCUAUAGACGUCUUGGUCUAUGAUAAGACAGAAAAUAGAAUUUUUUCUAAACAUGACCUCAGCACUUGCAAUAUGCUAGUAUAUAUUCUAUCUGCGGCAAAACCCACUACUGGUGUCACUAGAGUCUGUUUUGGUAAACACAUUCAGAAUGUCUAACUCAAGAACUUUUCUAGAUCUUUUUGUCUAAAAGUGCAUAAAAUGCCAAACGACGUGUUAAAAGUGCGGUUACCGUCGGCCGUUGGCGUUAGCGAAUAAAAGACGCCACAGACAAAUCGAACUCGUUGGAAGCAACAUAAGUUAAUUGGCUUUAAUAUUAAAUAAUUUCACACCAGAACUUCAAAAAUCAAGGGCGUGUUAUUGUUUUCCAUACGGGGCGCGCACACGACGCCUGGAAACCAUUCUAUGCUCGCGCCGCAGCUAUACUGACAGCAGCAGGAGCGAAACGCCGGCGUUGCACAGCGGUGUGACAGAGCCACCGCACUGCGAUCACUUCGGCGGCACAAUCCAAAUUUGUCGGACAUCUUAUUCUGUGCUGGAAACACUGGGAGGCAGGAAGUUUGAAAAAACGGCCACUGCCGCCCAUGUCUCGCUGUCUCAGUCGUGGGUUCGUUAUUCAGUUGUGUGUCAUUCUAAGCCGUUAUGUACAUUUAUACUGGAUAUUAACUGGAGUCAUUUAGCUGUGCUGAUGCUGUUUGCCCUGUGUUUUGCAUCAGUGCUUCGUGACAUCGGCUGUAUUGCGUGUUUUCGCCGACGGCUUACUACCACAAUGGCGGGAUCUACGUUCGCCGCCUUCGUGUCUCGGUGCGUCUUUGUACGUCGCACGUUCGGAUAACACUUUUUCCGACGGCUGGACAUCCUUCUUGUACCUUGGCGCUAGCUGGAUGACGGGACCUCAUCAUGAUCAGUGUACUGCUUGCCUAUGUCUACAAGAACCGUCACGCGUGGCCUGUGACAGCAAGCUUUUGUGGGCAGCAAGUGCUCUCCUACGAAGGCUGGCCUACUCUGGCAGCGGCGGCAAUCAUCUUCAAGAUUUAUCCAUGAUCACCUUUGCUGCUAUUUGUCACUCUUGUUAAUUGCACUUUCUGCAUCUUUUCUAAUUUAUUAGGUAAUAAAGUAUGAGUAUGUGACAUGGUGUGAA